GCCGUGAUCGUAUAGUGGUUAGUACCUCGCGUUGUGGCCGCGAUAACCCAGGUUCGAAUCCUGGUCACGGCA
rfam:Phaseolus vulgaris cultivar G19833 unplaced genomic scaffold scaffold_227, whole genome shotgun sequence.